rnacentral:rRNA from 1 species
UACGGGGGGGGGCAAGCGUUGUUCGGAAUUACUGGGCGUAAAGGGCUCGUAGGUGGUCAACUAAGUCGGACGUGAAAUCCCUCGGCUUAACCGGGGAACUGCGUCCGAUACUGGAUGACUUGAGUUCGGGAGAGGGAUGCGGAAUUCCAGGUGUAGCGGUGAAAUGCGUAGAUAUCUGGAGGAACACCGGUGGCGAAGGCGGCAUCCUGGACCGACACUGACGCUGAGGAGCGAAAGCGUGGGGAGCGAUCCGG